rnacentral:rRNA from 1 species
UUUGUGACAUACCUAUAACUGUUGCUUCGGCGGGUAGGGUCUCCGUGACCCUCCCGGCCUCCCGCCCCCGGGCGGGUCGGCGCCCGCCGGAGGAUAACCAAACUCUGAUUUAACGACGUUUCUUCUGAGUGGUACAAGCAAAUAAUCAAAACUUUUAACAACGGAUCUCUUGGUUCUGGCAUCGAUGAAGAACGCAGCGAAAUGCGAUAAGUAAUGUGAAUUGCAGAAUUCAGUGAAUCAUCGAAUCUUUGAACGCACAUUGCGCCCGCCAGCAUUCUGGCGGGCAUGCCUGUUCGAGCGUCAUUUCAACCCUCAAGCUCUGCUUGGUGUUGGGGCCCUACAGCUGAUGUAGGCCCUCAAAGGUAGUGGCGGACCCUCCCGGAGCCUCCUUUGCGUAGUAACUUUACGUCUCGCACUGGGAUCCGGAGGGACUCUUGCCGUAAAACCCCCAAUUUUCCAAAGGUUGACCUCGGAUCAGGUAGGAAUACCCGCUGAACUUAAGCAUAUCAAUAAGGCGGAGGAA